rnacentral:misc_RNA from 1 species
CGACAUGGAAAUAGAAAGAGAAGGCUGUAUAUAAGCAUUUUCUGUCCUUGUUUAAUCAGGCAUGCACACUAGUGGACACUGACGGCGCUCGUUUACCGUUGUUACAUAUUUCCGGUACAAGUACGCGGGCAUUAGAGAAGGACGGAACGGUCUCUCUCUUUACCCCUAUAUCGCGUUUUUAGUUCGCUCACGCGCUCUGUACUUAUAUCUAUUACAUUUCCACCAUAAGCAGCGGCCGUGCAGUGACUUACAAAAGUUUCGAACUCGCGGACGUUUAAUCACGUUCCCUACUCCGAAGGGAUAUUUCUGGUCUACGCACUCCAGUGCCCGCACAACUUAUAUUAAAACACCUGAUUUUCCCAUUCUACAGCAACAAAUUUCCUGAUCCUUUACAACCAUGAAGGACUUGUAUGCGAAAAUACUUGCCACGAUCAUCUGUUUGCAGACUAUUUUCGUCACUAUCUUCCCGUUAGGGGCUG